AGCGAACGCUGGCGGCAGGCCUAACACAUGCAAGUCGAACGAACUCUCCGGAGUUAGUGGCGGUCGGGUGAGUAACACGGGGGAACGUGCCUUUUGGUACGGAAUACUUCAGGUAAGCUUGUGCUAAUACCGCAUGUGCUAUUCUGGGGAAAGAUUUAUCGCCAUUAGAGCGGCCCGCGUCGGGUUAGCUAGUUGGUGAGGUAAUGGCCAACCAAGGCGUCGUUCAGUAGCUGGUUUGAGAGAAUGCCCAGCCACACUGGGGCUGAGGCACAGUCCAGAAUCCUAGGGAAGGGGGGAGAGGGGAAUCUAGCGAGAUGGGGGAAGGCAUGACGCAGCCAGGCCGGGUAAAUGAUGAUGGUGGUAGGAAAGUGAAGUUCUUUCAGCCGGGGCGAUAAUGACGGUACCCGGAGAAGAAGCCCCGGCUAACUUCGUG
rnacentral:rRNA from 1 species